UAUGAAGCGCGACAGCUGACUCGCACAAAAAGAUGUUCCCACUUGGUGUGCGUCAACUAUUGCGCUUCAAAAAUAUAAGAUGGAUAUUGACCAGCCCACCCGUCUCGUCACCUUGCUCUAUUUCUGUCCUUGGUUUUCAUUAUUUCAGCAAAUGCAGGCACAGGUAUUUGGUUGCGCAAUGAAGGUUGUGUCUUAUAUUACAGCGGUGUUCUUUAGCCAAGCACACCUCUUUCACGCAUUUGUUACGACAUCGACUACGGCGGUGGAUUAUUACGAGGAAGGCACCACACCUUACCGAAACAUGCGGCUUGAUUGCAUGCAGGCAGGAAGACCGUGCAAUACCCACAUGGACUGCUGCCGCCGCUUAUUUUGUGAAGACGAAAACUGUGUAAACCCCUUCAAUCCAUGAUCGAGCAUACCUGCAAUUAAAGGCUGUCUUUGAAGAACA